UCCUUCUGAUGUUCGGAUGUGUUCGGAGUCUUCCUUCUGGUGGGUUCGCGGUCCGGCUGGCUCAGGAGCGAAGCUGCAGACCUUCACGGAACUUGUGAGUUAUGGCAAAAGAUAUUAUGACUCCCAUGCUGCGGAUGAAGAAGUUGAUGCCCGUGACAGACCAAAAGUAACAAAACAACAACAAAAAACCAGGCGGGUCGUGGUGGCUCACGCCUGUAAUCCCAGCACUUUGGGAGGCCAAGGUAAUCCCCUUCAGUGACAGCAGAGUGACCCAGGCCACCUUCUUUGAGGAUUUCGGAGCUGCAGCCCACAGCCAGGGCCAUGGUGGACUCAGCUCUACACCCCGUGCCCAUGAGUCUCUGCGACUAACGAUUUCCCCAGACGCUCCCAGGUUCCUCCUGAUCUGCAGCAUUGCCGUCCCUGCCGCUGACCAGGAAGCCCUCUGUGCUCCCAUAGCCCCUUCAGAAACAUGUGACCUCCUGAGUCCUAAGUCUUCAGCAGAAACAGCAGCUGCCCCAUAGCUCGAGUGGCAGCAGGACCCUCUCUGCCCUGGUCU
rnacentral:lncRNA from 1 species